rnacentral:rRNA from 1 species
UAUCAAUAAGCGGUGGAAAAGAAACUAACCAGGAUUCCCCUAGUAACGGCGAGUGAACAGGGAUUAGCCCAGCACCGAAGUCUGCGUCCGUUUGGGCGUUAGACAAUGUGGUGUUUAGGUUGGUGUUUUCGAAUGUUGCUCUGUUUAAAGUCCAUUCUUGAAUAUGGCUAAUAGUUUGGCCCAGAGAGGGUGAAAGGCCCGUGUGGACAGAGCGAUGUUUGACUGUGCUAACCAUGGAGUCGGGUUGUUUGAGAAUGCAGCCCAAAGUUGGUGGUAAACUCCAUCUAAGGCUAAAUACUGGCACGAGUCCGAUAGCGAACAAGUACCGUGAGGGAAAGUUGAAAAGUACUCUGAAGAGAGAGUUAACAGUGCGUGAAACCGCUUAGAAGCAAACGGGUGUAGUCAAGCUGCAAGCCUUAAGAAAUAGGUUGGUCAGAAUGGCGUGAGUCUGAGCAUACAGAGCUGCCAGGUAGGUCCGACUAUAUGUCGGGUUCGGCUCGCAAGAGUCGGAUUUGUGGAGCGUUUACGCGCUGCAUGCCUGCUUGUCAGUUGCUCUACUGGCCCUCUCAAUUUCUUUUGGCGUAUGUCACGACCGUCUUCGCUGUCGGUCUGCUCCAUUUAAACCGUUUCGUGAGUAGUUUCGUGCUGCUUGCGUUCUGGGGGCAGGUAGCUGAUCUAGUCUCGGCUGGAUUGGUGUAAUUGCUGAGUGGAGUGGUACCUGUAACUGUGCAGUAAGAUGGGGCUGGCGGUGCAUUGUUGCCGGGCGUGCGUGUGUUAUCGUGGUUGGCGUAUGGCUAUCUGUUGCUGUUAAUAACGGCCUGGUGGUUGCCCGAUUGCGGUGUCAUUCGUUACGUUUGGUCAAUCUUUGCGUUGUGCCUAUAGUCUGUGGCGUAGUGGUAGACGAUCCACCCGACCCGUCUUGAAACACGGACCAAGGAGUUUAACAUGUACGCGAGUCAAUGAGUCUAUACGAAACUCAUAGGCGAAGUGAAAGUAAAGGAUGGCUUUUCGCCAAUCUGAGGUGAGAUCUUGCUGUGUCACUGGUACCAUUGAUCGGACUAUUGAGCAGUAGGCGCAUCACCGGCCCGUCCCAUGGUGUAGUACGGUUUACUGUGCAGCACCGGGGCGGAGCAUGAGCGUGCAUGUUGAGACCCGAAAGAUGGUGAACUAUGCUUGCGCAGGUUGAAGCCGGAGGAAACUCUGGUGGAGGACCGUAGCGAUUCUGACGUGCAAAUCGAUCGUAUGAUGUGAGUAUAGGGGCGAAAGACUAAUCGAACCAUCUAGUAGCUGGUUCCCU